GAUGAACGCUGACGGCGUGCCUAAUACAUGCAAGUCGAGCGAACGGACGAGAAGCUUGCUUCUCUGAUGUUAGCGGCGGACGGGUGAGUAACACGUGGAUAACCUACCUAUAAGACUGGGAUAACUUCGGGAAACCGGAGCUAAUACCGGAUAAUAUUUUGAACCGCAUGGUUCAAAAGUGAAAGACGGUCUUGCUGUCACUUAUAGAUGGAUCCGCGCUGCAUUAGCUAGUUGGUAAGGUAACGGCUUACCAAGGCAACGAUGCAUAGCCGACCUGAGAGGGUGAUAGGCCACACUGGAACUGAGACACGGUCCAGACUCCUACGGGAGGCAGCAGUAGGGAAUCUUCCGCAAUGGGCGAAAGCCUGACGGAGCAACGCCGCGUGAGUGAUGAAGGUCUUCGGAUCGUAAAACUCUGUUAUUAGGGAAGAACAUAUGUGUAAGUAACUGUGCACAUCUUGACGGUACCUAAUCAGAAAGCCACGGCUAACUACGUG
rnacentral:rRNA from 1 species